UUAAUCAUGACUACCACAAGCCUAAGAAAAGAAAUCACAAUAUAAAAUUAGUCCUAAUUUGAAUCAAAGUAUCAUGCCUUCAAUGGUAAUGAUUAUUAUCAUUUCAGCCAUUAUGAUUAUCAUUAUUAACUUCAAUGACCUUUAUGCAAUCUAUAUAUAUAUAUACUAUAUCACAUUGUGAAGAUACUCCAAUUCAAUUUCAAAUUCACAAGAAAAUCACAUUAUUAUUUGAAGCUAAAUCAAGACUUAACUCUCUUUUUAGGGUAUGUUGAAGAGAGAAGCUUUGGCCAUAUCCAUGUGCUCGAACUCAGGAGGAUUAGUGGGAUGGUGUCGCCCACGACGACGGUCAAGACGUCGACGAAGUAGCACAAUACGGCUUGGGAAUCGACGAAGAGGGUUCUGUCUUGGAUCUCGAGUCGUGGUCGGCCCUUUUCGAAUGUUGAAGAGGUUGAUUAUGGAGUUGGCUCCAAAUGAGAAGUUGAUAGAAGCUUAUUACUCACUUUUGCCAUUUUUACGUCCAACUUUGUUCCCUCUUAGUUGAUGAAUAUGCUCAACUCUUUAAUGAAUGAAAGCAUUUUUAUUUUUAUUUUUUUCAUUUGGGUAAUGAUCUUAUCCCUCUUUCAAUAUUUUCAUGUAUACUUUGUACAAUUUCUUGUUCUGAAGUGAAUCACAAUGAUUUUCAAUAUGAAUUUACUUUAGUUUAAUAAUAAGUUCAUCUAAUUAGUACCAA
rnacentral:lncRNA from 1 species